CAUACGGACGCAAACACGUCUCUGGCGCCCAUCACUAUAUCCAUACCAACCCCUGUGCACUGUGAUGACGAAUGUCAUCGAACAAAAAAAACUCGUAUGGUUGAAUGUACGUGAAAUUGUAGGUAUAGCCUACGAAAUAUACACAACUUUCGACAACGGAUCUCUUGGUUCUCCCAUCGAUGAAGAACGCAGCGAAACGCGAUAGGUAAUGUGAAUUGCAGAAUUCCGUGAAUCAUCGAAUCUUUGAACGCACCUUGCGCUCCAUGGUAUUCCGUGGAGCAUGCCUGUUUGAGUGCCGCGAAUUCUCCCUCCCCUUACGGUGGCCGAAAGGCCGAAGUAGGGCGGACGGGGUAGGAUGGGUGUUGCUGCCUGGGGAUUGUACCAGGCUCGCCCGAAAUGCAUAAGCGCCAGGACCCUCGCUACCGCUCUCUAGGGAAGAGUGGCUAAGCGACCGCUGAGCAUGGCAUGAUACGUCAUUUGCUGUGUGUGGGCGGCCGGUUGGAGAGGUGUCUGCUUUACCAGCCCUUUUUUAAUUCUGGUCUCAA
rnacentral:rRNA from 1 species